CGUGAGGGAUGACGGCCUUCGGGUUGUAAACCUCUUUCAGCAGGGACGAAGCGUAAGUGACGGUACCUGCAGAAGAAGCGCCGGCCAACUACGUGC
rnacentral:rRNA from 1 species